GACGAACGCUGGCGGCGUGCUUAACACAUGCAAGUCGAACGGAAAGGCCCUGCUUUUGUGGGGUGCUCGAGUGGCGAACGGGUGAGUAACACGUGAGUAACCUGCCCUUGACUUUGGGAUAACUUCAGGAAACUGGGGCUAAUACCGGAUAGGAGCUCCUGCUGCAUGGUGGGGGUUGGAAAGUUUCGGCGGUUGGGGAUGGACUCGCGGCUUAUCAGCUUGUUGGUGGGGUAGUGGCUUACCAAGGCUUUGACGGGUAGCCGGCCUGGGAGGGUGACCGGGCACAUUGGGACUGAGAUACGGCCCAGACUCCUACGGGAGGCAGCAGUGGGGAAUAUUGCACAGUGGGCGGAAGCCUGAUGCAGCAACGCCGCGUGCGGGAUGACGGCCUUCGGGUUAUAAACCGCUUUCGCCUGUGACGAAGCGUGAGUGACGGUAAUGGGUAAAGAAGCACCGGCUAACUACGUG
rnacentral:rRNA from 1 species